UACGGAGGGUGCGAGCGUUGUCCGGAAUCAUUGGGCGUAAAGGGCGCGUAGGUGGCCCGGUCAGUCUUUGGUGAAAGCGCGGGGCUCAACCCUGCGUCGGCCAGGGAUACUGCCGCGGCUCGAGCACUGUAGAGGCAGGCGGAAUUCCGGGUGUAGCGGUGGAAUGCGUAGAGAUCCGGAAGAACACCGGUGGCGAAGGCGGCCUGCUGGGCAGUUGCUGACACUGAGGCGCGACAGCGUGGGGAGCAAACAGGG
rnacentral:rRNA from 1 species